GGGCGCAGCCUGAUCCAGCCAUGCCGCGUGCAGGAUGACGGUCCUAUGGAUUGUAAACUGCUUUUGUACAGGAAGAAACACUCCCUCGUGAGGGAGCUUGACGGUACUGUAAGAAUAAGGAUCGGCUAACUCCGUGCCAGCAGCCGCGGUAAUACGGAGGAUCCAAGCGUUAUCCGGAAUCAUUGGGUUUAAAGGGUCCGUAGGCGGUUUAAUAAGUCAGUGGUGAAAGCCCAUCGCUCAACGGUGGAACGGCCAUUGAUACUGUUAAACUUGAAUUAUUAGGAAGUAACUAGAAUAUGUAGUGUAGCGGUGAAAUGCUUAGAGAUUACAUGGAAUACCAAUUGCGAAGGCAGGUUACUACUAAUGGAUUGACGCUGAUGGACGAAAGCGUGGGUAGCGAACAGGAUUAGAUACCCUGGUAGUCCACGCCGUAAACGAUGGAUACUAGCUGUUGGGGGCAACUUCAGUGGCUAAGCGAAAGUGAUAAGUAUCCCACCUGGGGAGUACGUUCGCAAGAAUGAAACUCAAAGGAAUUGACGGGGGCCCGCACAAGCGGUGGAGCAUGUGGUUUAAUUCGAUGAUACGCGAGGAACCUUACCAAGGCUUAAAUGUAGAUUGACAGAUUUGGAAACAGAUUUUUCUUCGGACAAUUUACAAGGUGCUGCAUGGUUGUCGUCAGCUCGUGCCGUGAGGUGUCAGGUUAAGUCCUAUAACGAGCGCAACCCCUGUUGUUAGUUGCCAGCGAGUCAAGUCGGGAACUCUAACAAGACUGCCAGUGUAAACUGUGAGGAAGGUGGGGAUGACGUCAAAUCAUCACGGCCCUUACGCCUUGGGCUACACACGUGCUACAAUGGCCG
rnacentral:rRNA from 1 species